UUACGAAAAACUCCAAAAUAUCGAGGAGAAAAGCGGUGAAAACUACAGUGUUUGAAACUUUUGUCAGAAGGGUUAAAAAGGAGGAAGGUUGCAGAAGUUUAGAAAGUUUUAGACAGGAUAUCCAAAAAGAACAGCACCAAAGAUGGAGUUAAACGGCUUCACCUUAAUUUCUUCAAAAUUUUUAACUGCUGCAUUAUAUGUGGAUGAUGAGGCGUACAUAUGUGCUUGGAGACUUCUCAGCUUCCAGGAUUUUUAUAUUGGAGAUUAUAGAGGGAUGUUCAAGAAGAGUUUAAAAAACAAAAAAAUUCAAAGUUUCAAAAGAAAUUUCUGGCUUUGCAAGCAAUUUGUAGCUGAGGUAAAAGAGGCACCUUUAUACAUCCAUUAAGUAGUGUUUGUAAAAACGGCUUCUGACAUUCAUAAGACGGCAUGAGGUGUCCACAUUUUGCUGGUCUGACUUGACUUCAUGCCAUUAUAGGAAAUCGGCAGUUGAGUGGUAUGAGAAGAACAAUAUAGUUUUAGCCUACAAACUGUUUUUUAAUAAAUUUAAACAUGAUAUGAAUUUCUGUUGAAAAACUGUUUUACAUGAACUAUUUGAAAAGCUAUUGAAAUUGUUUCGUACACUAAUUUCAUUUUGCGCCGUUUGCAACUACAUGCUAUAUACUAUAUUUACUUGGAAACUGAUUAUUUAUAAAGCUAUGUACAUAUAUAAAAAGUAGUAAAAUAUGUACAUAUGUGUAUGAGUAAACAACUUAUUUAAUUUAUUUACUUUCUAAACAGCUUUUAAUAUACUAUUUUUGUGGAAGAGUAAAUAGUUUUUAAAGCUGUAAUUACAACUAGCAUAUGUAUAUUAAAAGUUAUUUAUACAGCCAUUAUUAAACAUUGAAUUACAGCGAUUAGAGCUUACUUGCUAUUUAUUAUAAAAACACAAAUACAUUCACAUACGUGUCUAUAUAUGUAUACAGAAAUAUGUGUUUGUAUUUCGAGCUGCAAAGUUUAAAGUUCAAUGUGUCGAUGUUGAUUAGAACAAACUGUGCGAGUGUGUUUGCGUUUUGAUAGCAAAUUAUAUUCAUACAAUUCAUUUGAAAGUACAAUUACGAAAGCAUUACGAUAAUCAUUAGUUUCUAGUAAAUUCAUAUAACUUGAAGCAGAAAUUGAGGUAUAAUUCUUGGAAAAGUAUUAGCGUGCUUUUCUAACACGAGAAGUGCAUAAGAUAUGCAUUUGUAAAUUUAAAAUACUUUGUUUAGUAUUUUUAGGUUUUAUUUUGAAUUUGGUUUGGAAUAGUAGAAAAGUUUUUUAAACUUUAAAAUAUUGGAAUUUCAUAAAUUAAAUGUAAAUAUGUUGUUAUUAUAUAAUUGAAAACAAUAUAAUUCUGGUGCUGCCGCUUGCUUUGUGUUACUUUAUGAAUUAUAUCUAAAGCAAUUGAUUGUUUGUUCAAAUACAUACAGUUUUCAAAUAAAAAAAAAUAUAUAUUAAAUAGCAAAUAACCUCGCAACAUUUUUGUGAGUGACUACAAUACAGUUAUUAGGCACUUAACGAGCGUCCAGAUAUACAUAGUUACUACAUAUCUUCUAGAAUACAUAGUUGUCGUACUGAGUUACUUUCAGUUAGUUUUCCAACCUUUGGUUCGUUAAUGUUUUUACUUAAACGUGACACUUUUUAAAACUUAAACUUUCGAAGAGCAUAAUGUACAUUAGACAUUAAUUAGACCUACAGAAAGUUUGUUGCAGACCUUUAUUAACGUAAAGGUAAACAUCCAACACAACUAUCGCAAUGAACGCAUAGCUAUACUAAGCGAUAGUCAAGCGGCACUCAAAGCAAAUUCUGCGUACGAGAUCAAAUCGCUAUUGGUGCAGGAGUGUAUAGAACGACUGAAUAGUUUAUCAGAUCGUAACCAAGUGCACCUUAUUUGGGUGCCAGGUGACAAAGGUAUAACCGGAAAUGAAAUGCCUGAUGAGCUUGCCUGCUCCGCAGCAUUCACCAACAUGGAUCAGAACCUUUUAUUGCGGUUGGACCCCACAACAUAAGGGAGCUGCUCCGCAAUGAUGAAGUAGUGGGUAGAGAGAAACAUUGGCAAAAACUCUUAGUUAGAGUUGCUAAUGGGUGGUUACAACCUUAAAAAGUUUAAAUAUGUAAUCAACCUCCCAUGGCAAAAGCUCGGUCUACUUGUCGCCUUCAAUACUGGCAAUUGUAAGCUCAAAAAGCACUUAUUUUUUAUUCUUGUGCGAAUUGCCGGUUCUGCGACUUGGAGUUUGAAACACCAGAACACCUGCUAAUGGAGAGAAGUAUGUGGGUGCAUGAUAAAGGCUCUUGGAUUCAUGUUUCCAAAUAGGGAUCACAUCGCCUCAGUAGCACCUAGCAGUAUAUUGGAAUUUAUCAGUUUACUGUGGCUAGCUGAGACGUUGUAACUUAGGAGAGGGCACAACAGACCCUAGGUGGCAGUACAAUUCUCAUUUACUUAUCUAAUCUAAUCGUAUUAAACCAAUUUUCAAAGUUGAAUUAACAAUUUGUUAUCCAGUGGCUAAUAUUUUCAUAAAAUAAUUUACUAUGUUAAUAAUCAAUAAUCGAUAAUUAAUUAAAUUUUAGAAUGAUAUACUUAUUUCUUUAAGAAAAUAAAGCUGUAAAUUAUUUGAAACAUGCAAAUGUAUAUAAUUUUGUAAAUAUGUACAUACAAAAAUAGUUUUCCUUUUAACUAAAAUAAAAAAUUAGUAUAUGCAAAUGUAAUUCAAUGUAUUUCUUCAUCACACAGUAUUUCGCCACACUUGGUAUACCUAAUAACCCUGUCGGAAAUUUCAUUUAUUCACAACUAGUGAUAUUGAAUAUCAUGAUAGUAAAUCGCGUCAAGUAACAGAUUCACGGAAUGCAAACACCAAGCAGGUGCCUAACAUUUUCUCAAGCGUAACCGAUUUUAUUCUAACUAUGACUGGAAAAUAAUAGUAAUUUUCCGGCGAUCAUUUGGAUUGAAAGGAUUUUGGUUCUUUUGUUGCUUUAGAAAAUAAUGGUAAAACUCUCAAAGGAAUCUAAAAUUGUAUUCAUAUUAAGCCCUAGUCCACCAGUAUAAUAGAUUUUUUUCUAGCGGGGUAAGUGCCAAGUAAUUAUGUCUAUUUAAUUACAGCCAGAGCGUUAAUGAAAAUUUUAAAAGCGAUUAUGUGCUCGUCUAUUUCCAUGCACAACAGACUUAGCGGCCACGACAGUUCAUGUAAAGUGUUAAAAUAUUGAAGCUAAGGGAUAGGAAGAUGAUAAUGCUCACAUAUAUGUGCUUAUAAACUAUUGCCAGCUAAAUGUAUAAUUACAUUUAUGUUCACAAAAAUGGCAAUGCUGAUUUAGGAAUGAGAAAAGGCGGUAGGGUUUUUAGAAGAUUAGAUUAGAGUUCACUGUUGACCACAUUACCACUUUACUGUCAGCUGUUCGUUAAAUAUUUCUUUAAUUGUAUUCGUAACACAAAUGUUUAGAAGUGAUAAAUUUGUUUGUGCUUCAUGGCUUGAAAAAGGGAAAUAACAAAUUUAUUCUGACUCCCUGUACUGACAUUAUGGUUGAAGUCACCCUUCACCUUCUGAGAAUUAAUAUUUGAGUGCCUUUUAACUAAUUCAUUCACUGAAUUUAGAGACGUUUAUUUGUCUGCCCAUUCUUUUUUGCCACAUUAUUUCUCAAUUUUAGACAACUUAACAGUACUUUCGUCGAACACUAAUUAUUUUUUGUAUAUCUCUGAAUUUUUUCUAUUUUUAAGUUUUUAUUAAAUAUUUGGAUAUUUCAGCAUAGGGCUUGAAUCAAUUAUAUUUAAUUUCAAAAUAUUAUUUUUUGAUUUAAACAAUUCACAAAUAGAAAAAUUAAGGACAGCACUGCUAUUUCUAUGAACAACUCAAAAAGGACGAUCAACAUAAAAUGUGCUCGUAAAUAAAAAUACGGUUACUAUGUACAUAAGUACAUCCGAGCCUGGAUUAAUAGUGAUUUUAUUUACUGUUAUAUUAAUCUGGAAAUGCAAUUUAAAGUAAAAUUUCAAAUAAAUCAGUUCUUUUGCACUGAAGCAUAUAAUCAACUCGCACUGCAUUUAAUAUGAACCUGACUGUACAUCAGUGCACUGAUUUAAUUUUUAAUUUUUUUCUCAGAAAUAUUAAGAAAUUCUCAUUUUGUGUUUGUUUAGUACGAAGGUUAGUGAAUAAAAACAAGGUUUAUGCUCUGAAAUACUGAAAUAGUCGAGAUUGGACCUACAUACAUGUUAUGUACAUAUACUAAACAAAUGUAAAAUAAAUCGUAUUUGCUAAAAAUAUUAAAGUUUAUUUCAUGUAAAAUUAAAAAACAAAAAAAGGAAAAACAAAUUUAUUUUUUCGUGCUGAUUGGAAUUCGAUACUAUUUUUUUGUUCGAAAAUGGUUAAAUACUACUACUUAAGACCAUUUCGCAAAUUUUAAGCUUCAAUCGCGGUUAUUAUAAAAUAGAUUUGCGUUUAAAGCCUCUUAAUUCAUACAUAUGAACUAACUAAACACCUCCACCCAAGCAUGGAUAUAAAUUAAUAUCUUAAACGAAUAUACCUUGAACACACUUAUUGAUGGACGCUAACCUUGCUGACGACUGCUGUACUAGUGGCUGAUGGCUGGUGGCUGAGUACGCAUUUUAAAGGGGCCGGAAAAAGUGAAAUGAGUUAGCAUUUAUUGUUGCCCUGAUGCAACGAAAUUUUUGUUAAUAAAUGCAACUUUUCCGAAUUCAAAUUAUGCAGUUUGGUUUGCCUAGAUUUAUAGAUAUUGUACGUCCUACAAAAUACCGACAAUCAACAGUUCUAGGAAUAUAAUUAGUUCAAUUUUACAUUGCAUGUGUAUGUAGUGUGCACAUGUAAGUAUGUAUAUGUGUAAUCGAAAUUCUUUCUCACAUUUUGCGCUAUAUGUUUUGUAGGCAGCCAUAAAUCCCCACGUGUCACCUGAGUUUGACAAACCUCGUCAUUGGCCUUGCUCGUACAUACAUACAUAUGUACAAUGUAUGUAGAUAUGAAUGUGUAUAUUAUAUAUUUUUGUAUAUGCGAUAUGUAAGAAACUAUUGCGGCAUGAGCAAUUUCAUCAAAGAAAUUAAAGUACAAACUAUAAUGUAUUUUUGUAAUACACAUACACAUGUAUAUAUUGUACAAUGUAUUCACAGUGGUGCUAAAACAAAACCAUUUUUUUAAGCGAGAUAGUAAUCAGAAUAAAAGUAAUAACCAGCUUAUAAUCAAAUCAAAGCUUGAAGUGGGGAUAUUAGUUUCUUACAUAGGCGAGAAAGAUUACGAAACUGCAAGUCGUCGUUUCCUCAGUUGUGGUGUUCUGUUUCUAUCAGAAUGCCUUUGAAUAAUUCCAUCAAGUUAUAUGUGGAUGUAAGGUUUAAUCGCUGCUCGCACUUCAAAUACUGAACACAGUUCUUUGUGAAUCCAUAAAAAUACAACUCCUUUGUUCGAUUGUAUAAGUUCACAAAGCGCCAAGUGGCCAAUCAAAAUUUGCUCAGGCGUUAUAUUCCUACUUCCACCAAUUCGGUGGUAUAUCAUAAAGUAUGAGCUUCCAAGCGCAAAAGUGGAACGAUCAAGAAGGAAGUUUUAGCUGUUUCCACAUCGGCUUCUUCCAUACAGCUUCAGCUGCAGAAGGCCACUGGUAGGAUUCUCAAUCUUGCAACAUGGAAGCCGAUUGUGCAAGGGCCAGGUAGAACGCCCAAUUACGGAGAGGCUGGUCUUACUGAAGGCAAAAAGCUUAUUGAAUCACAAUGUACAUUUUUGUUUUUCUUUUUUUUUUUUAUUAUUAUAUUAUGAACACUAUCGAAACAUAUCUUUGAAAGUAGUUCUUUAUCAAUUGAAGAUGUUUCUACCACGGCAAAGAUAUCUGUUUUUUGCUUCUUUCAAAAUUUGUUGUAAAGUUUGAUGAUGUAUUGAAAAAAAGUAACAAAAAUAUUGUUAUACUACAUACAUUAGUUCCAUAUUAUUAUUCAUUUUAUGUUUAGAUUUUUUUAGAACUUAUUGAAAUUUGAAAUUUGAAAUCGAAUAUUGAUUAUAAGGAGUGAAGUAAUCAAAUAUGUUGGCUUUAAUUUAAUACCAUUUUAAAGUGAAAUUUCAUCAAUUUAUAUAGUUUUGAAAAAUCUGACUGAUAGUUUAAGUUUAUUUCAAAUAUAUAAUUAGGUAUGUAUGCUAUUUACUUGAGCACCACUGUAUUCAGUUGUACAUGCUUAAAUUCUAUAAUGGCAUACAUCGAUCAACGAUCAGUAAAAAUUUUGUAUAGUUCAUGUGCGCAUUAGAAGUGACGCCAAGCAGUAAAUCAAUUGAAGAAUUGCCGCAUGUAGCGCUUUUGUUGUGUCAAAAGCCAACGUGCUAAGUAGCAAUGCUUUGUAUGGGGAUUUUUAUUAUAUUUAUUCAAUUAAAGGAAUUGAGCACUAUCCAAAAAAAAAAAAAUUAAUUAUGCUAAAUUCAGAAUUCAUUCAUUCAUUUCAUACACGUAAACGUUCAACGGCCAAGUGGUUGUACAUAUGUACAUACAUAUACAUAAGUAUUUAGUACGUAAGGCAGGAAGUAAAAAAUGAGUCAAGUAGUAUUUUUGACGGUAUUCUAAAAACCAACACCAGCGUUAUGUAUUGAAUUAUGAUACAAAUCUAUCCAUAUUUAUCACAUAGCCGUGCAUAUGUAGAUAUUUUAAUCGGUUUGCAUGCAAUUAAUAGGUUCAGAUAUUUACAUAUCAUGUUUGGAGUUCCUUUCCGAUUAUUAAGCACUUACUCCACAAGACAUUUAUUCGUGCUGUCGAUAAACGCACAACUAAACACUGUUAUCUUAUCGAUUCGUUGAUUAGUGUGUAUGCAAGUCAUUAAUAGUUUCUUUAAUUUGAUAAAUCGCUAAUCAAUUGUUGAGACAGAAGUGGCUUUUCAUUUAAAACGUUUAAUUUAUAAUGCAUUAAGUUUUUAGAAGUUAUUUCCUUAAUAAAAACGGAUUUACCAUAAGAUAAUACACUAAAUUUACGAGAAAGAUUUAUUUUCGCAUAUUUUGCUAAUAAAGUUUGACGUGAGAUUUAGCAGGCAGGAAUUUAUUGCCAAUCGACAGCUGAAAUACCCAAUUUAUUAGUAUUAAUAAAUUGUUUUUAAAAUCCUCCCUUGAUGCGCAUUGUUUAGUAGUAUUUGUGAAUAUUAAUAAUUGAGUACUAGGUCAGAUGUUUGGGCUGUAAAUAGAUUAUAUAAUAAACAACAUAUAUUAAGAUACUUAAAACAUCGGUGUAGGGAGUCAAAAUAAUAGGGUCAACCCAAAAACAAUAUUUUGUUUUGUAAAAAAUCAACUUUGUUAUUUAAAAUGGUUGUCAGAUGGUGGCGUUUUUUCAACUUUUCGAUACAAGUUUUUUAGUACAAUCAAGGUUUUUUUGAAAAUCGGUGUAAGUCUCGGCGGUUACCGCUUAUAAAGAGUUAACUUUUCUUCCCUCUCUUAGCGCCAGUAUUAUAUUGCUGUCUGAGAACAGGAAAAUGUUAUUAGAUUUCAAAUUCAUGGAACUUGGGUAAGCUUUUGAUUGAUUCCAAUAUUCGCUAUUUUCAAGAACGCUGAUGGCAAUUAUUCGAUACGCUUUUCAAAUAUAGACGUCAUAACUACGACAGCUGCUUUUGCUCGACUUUAAAAACUCAUGCAAUUGACCUUACAACAUUUUCUAACUUAAUUCAGAAGUUUUA